GGAAGUCCUGGAAGCUUAGGCUGAUGAGGAGCCAGGCCAGCAAUGUGGCAGAAAUCCAGACAGAUUUCCAACAGAAACCUGCCUGAGGUGGAAUUUUGUCAAAGUCAACAUGGCUCCAUGGAACAUUUCCAUUUUCAUAAAUUGAUCUCUAAAGUGCUUUACAAAGGCCUCUCCAGUUUGUGGUCUCAGAAGAGGACUGGAGAGGAGCUGCCAGGAGCUGGGAGGUUCUGGUAAGGAAGCCCCAGUCAGAGUUCUCAACACAGAGCUGGAUCAAAAGUGUGAUGUUUUUAACGGAUAUGAUCAAUACUCCAUACAAGAAAUGUACCCAGGCAACUACCUCAAUGUUGGCCAAAGCAUGAGGAAGAACUGAGGGUUUUCAUUAACAUCUGCCUACGUUAACACCUGUGGGAAAACGCUGUCUCCUAGCUUCCACUACUAAGUGAGCAUAUUCUCUGAACAGCCUCCAUUAC